UUAAGUUCAGCGGGUAUCCCUACCUGAUCCGAGGUCAACCAUAGAAAAUUGGGGGUUACUGGCCAGCAUCCGCCGGGACCCUAUAGCGAGAGAGAUUACUGCGCUCAGGGCCCGACGGCACCGCCACUGAUUUUAAGACCCGCCGGGUUAGCGGCGAAGCCCAAGACAAGCUGUGCUUGAGGGUUGAAAUGACGCUCGAA
rnacentral:misc_RNA from 1 species